AGGAGCGGGUAUACUCACAGGAACAGUCUCUGCAGGUUCAGCACAGUAUAAGAGAGUGAGUCCCUUGGUCUGAGCUUCACUCUGAGCCUCCCAGGGCCAUCCAGCCUUUGGACCUGCAGGUGAAGAUGACAUUUUUGCUGAUCACCAUGACUUACCUUUGCGCUCACACAUUGAUGGACAUCCCUCAGGAAGGAAAGUUCAAAACUUCUCGGACCUGCCCAGUA